rnacentral:rRNA from 1 species
AAUAGAUACCCUGGUAGUCCACGCCGUAAACGGUGGGCACUAGAUGUGGGGCUCUUUCCAUGAGUUCCGCGUCGCAGCUAACGCAUUAAGUGCCCCGCCUGGGGAGUACGGCCGCAAGGCUAAAACUCAAAGGAAUUGACGGGGGCCCGCACAAGCGGCGGAGCAUGCGGAUUAAUUCGAUGCAACGCGAAGAACCUUACCAAGGCUUGACAUAUACGGUCUAUCCCUAGAGAUAGGGAGUGCUUCGGCGCCGUAUACAGGUGGUGCAUGGUUGUCGUCAGCUCGUGUCGUGAGAUGUUGGGUUAAGUCCCGCAACGAGCGCAACCCUCGUCCUAUGUUGCCAGCGGAUUAUGCCGGGGACUCAUGGGAGACUGCCGGGGUCAACUCGGAGGAAGGUGGGGAUGAGGUCAAAUCAUCAUGCCCCUUAUGUCUUGGGCUUCACGCAUGCUACAAUGGCCGGUACAAAGGGCUGCAAUACCGCGAGGUGGAGCGAAUCCCAAAAAGCCGGUCUCAGUUCGGAUUGAGGU